CUUUCUCAAUGAGAUCAGCUCUUGUUUGAUCUCAACAUUGCCAGAAGGGUUCUAUGAUAGAGUUGAAGAGGGAAGCAUCCUUUUGAAGAAAGCUCCCAAGUUUGGCUUCUGCAAAGAAGGAAUUGUGGUAGAUGGAGAGAGCACACCUCUAGAGACGGAUUUGGUCAUAUUGGCAACUGGGUUCAAAGGAGAUGAAAAGCUCAAAGAUAUUUUUGUGUCUCCAACCUUCAGAGACUACAUUAUCGGCUCUCCAACUGCAUCUCUUCCACUCUAUAGGUUAGUACCUUGUAACACGUAGUAGCUUUUGGGUCAAAUACAUGACUGAAUUUAGUCAAUAUUAUGACUUACGACUUGAUAUGGACUUCCCCUCCGGAUUUGAUCAACCAGGGAAUGCAUUCAUCCUAGAAUUCCACAGCUAGCGGUGAUUGGAUUCUCAGAGAGUGUUUCAAAUUUGUACACAUCGGAGAUGAGGUGCCGGUGGGUAGCAGAGCUUCUUGAUGGCAAAUUCAAGCUGCCAAGCAUCAAGGAGAUGGAGAAGGAUGCAGAAAGAUGGGACAAAUACAUGAAGCAAUACUCCGGUGAAUACUACAGGAGAUCAUGCAUAGGUUCUGUUCAUAUAUGGUACAAUGAUCAACUCUGUAAGGACAUGGGAUGGAAUCCUAAGAGAAAGAAGGGGUUCAUUCCUGAACUGUUCCAGCCUUAUGGCCCAAUGGACUACUGCCCAUCCUAAAAUCAAACUCCAGCUUCUUAUUCUAAUCCUAUUCAGGAAAAAUAACAUGAUUCCAAUUCCACAAAAAGAAAGAAAGAAUGGAAAGAGGUCCCAUUGAUGAUUUGUAGAAGAACCUUUGAAGAUCUCAAGUCACCCAUGCCCAGAUUUAAAAAAGUGUUGACAAGGCAAAAGAUGAUUUGUGGUUUUGCCACCUUUGUAUUUGUUUUUCUUUCCUUUUCCGGUCUUCUUCCCCUGUUUGAAUGGGUAAUAAACUCAUUAGAAUAUUAUAGAAGUGUGACAAUAAUGAAAUUUAUUUUAUUUUAUCGACAAUAUUUGCAGAACAACAUAUUCUAUUUAAAUCAGGUCACACCAAACUGAAGAUCGGGACUGACAGCAACAGAAAUCUAGCUAAAUGGGGACCGACAAGACACCGAAUAGUGAUAUCUCUACCACGUGUAGACAUCAUAGAAGAGUCUAUCUAAUAUUAGGUGGACUUCAGUGCCUUUUGACUGGUCCACAGUCUAGAAAGUUGUAAACUACAUCAGCGCAAAGCUUCCAAUAGAAAGACGGGACGAGUACCUGAAACGAUACUCAGGGAAGCGCCACCGGAGAUCAUGCAUAGCAGCUCUUCAUAUAUGGCACAAUGAUCAACUCUGCAAGGACAUGGGGUGGAACCCUAAGAGGAAGAAGGGGUUUUUUGCUGAAUUGUUUGAGUCUUAUGGUCCCCUGGAUUACCGUCCAAUAUCUUGAAGUUAGUGAACGUGAAUCCUCCAUGACUCAUAUCUGUUUCAAUGAUGUGGUUUAAGUACAAAGCACUCCAUGUUGAAGGAAAGAAAAAUAAUAAUCAUAGGUAUGUGUGGUAUUUUUCAACAUUAAUUACAUUAAGAAAGAUGAAGAAAUUGGAUUAUUAAUUUGUUCUCGGCACUGUGAAGGAGAUGAAGAGAAGAUCUUCUUGAAGGGUUUGAGUUAUCCAUUAGCUAAAAUUAGGGAUGAGCUAUGAACCGCAAAGACGGACAUGAGAUAUAUAUAGUUUUAGUGAUUUUCUUAUAUCGAAUUUGGUGACUAUUUUUUAAAACCGUUGUUAAAAAUAUUUUUUGAAAGUAGUAUUUUGUCAAAUAAUUUCUGCUUAAAACUUGAAAUAUCUUUAACUUAUUUUCUAUAUUUUAAAAAUAAUUAUUUAAAAGAAUUCUCAAAUAAUAACCGAAAAUAAUUCUAUAUUUUAAAAAUAAUUUUUGUAGGGUUUUAUUUUAAUCAUUCUUUGUGAUUGUAUAAUUACUUUUUAAAACAAUUCUCGAAGAAUAACUGAAAACAACUAAUAGAUAUUGAAACACCUUAUUUUUUGUUUUUAAGAACAGAAUAUAUAAUUUUUAUAGUUGAUGUAUUAGCUGUUAAGAAUAAUGGGAUGUUAAAUCUAGAGAUUGAAGAUGACUCAAAAAUGGUGAUAGAUAAUUAUAACAAAAAGAGUAACAUCCCUAGUUUUAUUAUGUUGUUAAUGGAAAAUAUUUGGAAGAUAACACAAGACGUUAAUGUUUUUAUUUGUCAUCAUAUUUAUAAAGAAGCAAAUAGAAUAACAAAUUGUUUUAUCAAAUAAAAAUAUCUAUAAUUUAGAAUCUUUCACUUGGAUGUUAGAUUUUUCUAAAGAUGUUAUAAAGUUUGGCUUUGAAGAUUAUUACAAUGCUUCUUUCAAAUCAAAUAUGUAGAUAUUCUGCUAUGUAGUUUCUUUCCAUUAAAAAAAAAGCAGAAAAAAAUAUAAAGAUGUUAUAAAGUUUGACUUUGAAGAUUAUUACAAUGUUUUUUUUAAAUUAAAUAUGUAGAUAUUCUACUAUGUAGUUCCUUUUCAUUAAAAAAGAAAAAACUAAAAAUGUUAUAAAGUUUGGUUUGAAGAUUAUUACGGUGGUUUUUUUAAAUCGAAUUUAUUGAUAUUAUGCCAUGUAGUUUCUUCCCAUAAAAAAUAUAAAAUAAAAUAAAAGUAGCAAACUAACAAUUAAGAAUGAGUUCAAAAUUAUAAUUACACCAUGUCUAAUUAUGUUCAUGAAAUGACCCUAAUAAAAAUUAAUAUAAAUAAUUUUGAUUUGAUUUAGUCAAGCACACCAUCUGACACACACUCUUACAUCAUAUCUCAAACUCAUUCAUAACUACCCAUGACUUCAAUGAUAUCAUAUGAUUCAUAUCGUGGACAUUCAUUAAUAAAGCUUUAAAUUCAAGUGACAAAACGAAAAAGAAAAAGGGGAUCUAAUCUUUGGCGAGCUGCAAUUCUUGUUUUAUCCUUCAUUGGUCUCUCAGACGACAAUAUGCAGGAGACUAUACAAAUUUGACUAUAUCAUAUAAAUUCUUAAAUAUAUUAUAUUAAAGAUAUCACACCACCUUCAAGAAAAUUAUACAAGUAUGAUUAUUUGAUAUAAAAUCUUAAGAAUAUUGUAUUAAAACUUAAGGAAAUUAUAUUAAAGAUGCAUACCACUCUCAUCAAGAGAGAUAGUUGAAGAAAUAAGUAUCAUUAAUCCUAAAUCUACCAUUAUGUGAUAUACCUACCAUUUUAGAAUGAUUAUUCAAUUGAUUAAAAGUUAUAAGAUCAUAAUUUAAUAUCGGGAUCAUGGUUAUAAAUAUAUAAUUUAUAUAUUAUUAAAAUUAAAAUAAUUAUAAAAAUUUAAAUUAUAUAUAAAUAAUUACAAAUUUAAAAUUGUUCAGUAUAAAAUAUCUCUAGACAUCUUUUUGGAUCGGGGGACUUUGGUUUUUUAUUAUUCAUUGUUUUUUUCAUUUUAUUUUGGUCUUUUUUUUCUCUCUCAUCCACUUGUUGGCCACCCAGUGAGCUGGACAUUUUAUUUGGAAGAGUGGGGACGACCUCUCCAUGGGUAAGCAAGCUGGUCAAGGCGAAUCGAAUGGUCUUUUUCCACUUGAUAAUCCCCUUCCAUAUUCUUAUAUAGGCAUAUAUAGGAUUCACGACUGACGCCCUGUGUGGAGAGAGCCCUAAAGCACUGUAAGCAAGUUACUCCACCAAGAGAAGAUAGAAUCCGCCAAGGGCAUUCCCAGCAGCAUUAGCUAGUUAUAUGCAAAUGACAGCCUGCAUGGGACGCAUGGCCAAGGACACUACUACCUUGCCAUGGUGGUAGUUGAGAUAGAAAUUGUUUUGUUGAACGGGGAGCAGUAGAACUGGUAGAGGCUUGCAAGAGAAGAAAAUGAGCUGGGAGAAGAAAAACAAGGGGAAGAGGUUUUUAGUAGGGAGGGGGUUUUCAACAGUGGAGGUUUUUGAGGGAAUAUGAGAAAGGAGAACCGAGGAAGCAGAAGGAAAGGAGAUUUUGCUGAUACAUGAAAAAGAAAGAAGAGUUGGAAGCCAUGUAACUAUUUGUUAUGAGGGAGCAUUCCAGGUAAAGCCAUUAUACUGUUUCAUUCCUAUUUUCAUCUACUUUUCUGAGCAUUGCUUUGUUGAUUGGUGGACAUUAAAGACCACUCAUUUGCUUUGUCAGGUAGGACUUUAUACAUGUAUGCUCAGUUUUGGUUUAUUUUGGAUUUUUUUUUUCUGUUUUCACUUGUAAAUAUCCGUUGCACUACUCCUUCCCUGAAUUUGAUACGUCAAAAUGAUGCUCUUGUUUCAUUUGGAUUCCACGUGCUCCUUUGAGCUAAGUUCAUACUCUGUUUUUACGUUUUUUUUUUUCCUCUUUGUUUCCUACUCUGUUUCUUGGUGAUGGUGAGAUGACAUCAUCAAUGACCAAGCUAUUGGGACUAGAGGAGUGAGGCUAUGGGGAAAGUGAACUUAACGGAAUCCUCUGUGCCUGCUGUGCAAAUCGUGUUCUUAUUUGGACAGUUGAUUAUCUCAUCAAUAACUGGAUAAAAAACACUAGCUGGGAUUGCAAGCAGCUACAACCCAGUUCAUUCAUUUGUAAUGAGGUGAUUAAGAAGGAAAAUAGUGGGCCAAAGCAUGGGCUCUGACCCUAUUUUCAGUCAUCGAGACACUCCCAGGAGCCUUCUUAUGGUCACCAUCACCAAUAGAAGAUUGUUGUCCUAUUAUUUUGCUCUUUGGUGUAUGGAAACUUGACUUUUUGGAGCAUGUUUUGGUGAGCUCCUGGGCAGAAUCUACCCCAUGUGUUGGUCACUUUGUGAUGCAAUGAAGAAAUGCCUAGAGGUUUUGGUUUGGUACUUGGCAUUGUUGAGCAUUUUGACUCAUCUAGUGGUUUCAAUGUGCCUUAUAUUGGGUGGAAUGCUUUACACCCCAGCGGGUGAUCCUUGUCCGAACCUAUCUCUUAGCUGUGAAGGCAUGCACAACUUCAAUAAUUGACUACAGUGACUAAGAAGCAAGGGCCACCUUACCCAUAUCUCUACCUUCUAUAUCCACUGCCUACAUACCCACCAAACUCAUACCAUACCUUCAUUUUAUCCUUUAUCUAUAUGCCUACCAAUCAUUUUUCAAACCCACUUCUCUCACUUCCUCCACCACUCACUUCUCAUAAAUUCUUUCACAUUCCUUUCCAUGGGCAGGCAACCCGCACGAAUGGCCACUUCGAUGCGCACAUGGCCAGUUUCUGCUUGCUCCCAACCUUGGCAUCUUCAAUAUUUGGUAGUCUCCACACAUUAUGAUGAGAGUUCAGGUUCCGUAAUUCCCAAAUAGUUUGCCACUUAACCACUCCAUCCCUGGCUCAUACACGCGUGGUUCAACUUGCAUGGCCUCCAACAAUGCAUGGGAGUUACACCAGAUAGCUAAAAUUGCAAGUCUAAUAAUGAAUGAUGAGAAUAAGGAGGCCCGGGAAGCAUGCAAAGAUCUUCGUCGUGUCUAUGCUCGGUGCAAGGUUUAAGGCUUUGGAUUCUGACAAUAUGGACAUGGAUAUUGGUUGCCGCAAGGAAAGUCGAAUCAAGUGACAGUUCAAGCUCUGACAGUAGUGAUGAUUCAGACUUGGAUGAAGUAAUUAAAGAAGCUAAAAAGGUGAACUCCCAACUAAAGAAAUUAUCAUCCACUGCCAAGGCUGUUAAGAAUGGCUCUGUUAUGGAACCCGUUGAAGAUGAAAACAUUUUUUGUAUUGUUUGGAUGGAAGAAAACCUUCGCAAUCAUUUCUGUGGUGCUCCCCGAUCCAGGCUCAUCAAUUCUUACAUGGGCUCUAUAUCUCUCAUAAUGACAAGAGGUUUGCUGAAUUCAACGAGGAUGGCAAGCAACUCGAUGUCGAUGUUCGUCGCAAGUAUAUCUUUGGUGGCCCUGCUGCUACAUAUAUGGCGUCUUUGAUGAAGGACAAUGAGUUGAAUCUCUUCAUAAAUCCUCGAAAUGUUUGGGUAAUAUCCUUGCCAUUGAAACGAACUAAGCACCUCCCUGAGAAAUAGUUGUGUAGCAUGCUAAGUUGGCCGCUUUCUAAAGGCACUAAGUUGAACAAAUAUCAUGCAGAAUAGGUGCAAAUGGCUUCCGGAAUCUGGUUUGAGGAAGAUAGUGUGAGUAAAGGCAGUGCAUGGGUUUUAGAUCAGAAGCUUAAUCAACCCAUGGAUGAGAAAGCGAGCUGAAGAACAUCAGAAAAGUGACUCAAAGAAGCUCCUUGCCUGAUUUCAAUUCUACCUUCCUUGGUCCCCCAGCUUUCUAAAAAGCUAGUCUCAAAGCAUCAUUCAAUAGCCACCUUGCACCCCGGGCCCCACUCCUACAUUACCCUCUAGUGCACCACCCAGACCCCACAUGUCAUCUUCUUGUUUCUUCAUCUCUUGAUAUCAAAAUUUAACUUUCAAAACUCCAAAUUUUUAAAUUUAAUUUUCAAAUAAUUUUUUAAAUUCCAAUUUUUAAAUUUAUUUUUUAAAAAACUUCAAUUUACAAGUAAUUUUCAAAACUCUAAUUUUCGAAUAAUCUUCAAAACUCUAAUUUUUUAAAUAAUUUUCAAAAUUCCAAUUUUCAUAUUUAAUUUUUUUUAAAACUUCAAUUUCCAAGUAAUUUUUAAAUAAUUUUUAAAACUCCAGUUUUCAAAUUUAAUUUUCCAAACUUUAAUUAAGUACUUUUCAAAACUCUAAUUUUCCAAUAAUUUUCAAAAUUCUAGUUUUCAAAUAAUUUUAAUUCCACUCCAGUUUUCAAAAUAUUUUUCAUGCCACUCCGAUUUUUCAAAUAAUUUUAAGUCCUCAACUUUCUCCUUCAUUAGGGUUUUAGGUCACCAAAAAUCACAAUUGUAAUAAGCUUGCUACCAUUUCUCAUUUUGGCAUGCACUUUCCCUUGAAUUUAAAUAAGCAUGAAUAUGAUUUUUCAUAAUUCAAAAAUAAUAGAAUUUUAUGAGAUUAAUUCAUGCAAAAUUAAAUUGGGCUUUGAUGGGGCCCAACAUCUAUGAUGUUUUUCUUUAAAAAUGAUUCAAGUGAAGUGCAUAAUUGUCAUUAAUAAUUCCUUACUCUGUUUUGUGACACCUGCAAUAUGUUUUGUAUUCUUUAUUGUGCCAUAACCCUAUUUCAUGAUAGUGCACUAUUACUUACUGUUAAGAUACGAUCUCACUUUCACUUUGCUUAUUCUCAUACAUGAUUCGUUUUAUUAUUUGAUCAUUUCAUUUAUAUUCAUUGAUUUAUUUAUCAAUUGUAACACUUGUCUCAUCUUAUUUAGUAAAAACUCAUUUUUAAGUGACGACUCCAAGUCUUUUCUAAAAAUCAUUUAUUUUCUUUCAAUAAAAUAAAAAGCAAGUUGAAGCAUAGUGGUAAUGCAUCGUGCAAAAUGCACUGCCAACAAUAUUAUAUAUUAAUAUUUUUAUUAAAUAAUAAGGUUAUAGGGUUUUAUCGUUAAAAAGAUACAUUAUAUACUACAAGUUAAAAUAAAAUUUUAUUAACAUUUAAUUAGCUUUGUAAUUAUAAAAAAUCAUUAUAACAAAAUUGAUCUUUGCACGACGGCUAACCACCUUCAGUCGGUGUUUUGGGGCCUCCUCCCCACCUCCAUUCUGAGUUGAAAAAGAAGAGGCGAGUGGGCCCGUAAGCUUGACUAGCUGGUGGGUGGAUUUCUAGGUUUGUCGGUCCCUUCCAUACCGGUUUAAAGCUGCAAGCUAUCAGCUAUGUAAAACAAUAAAAUCAAGGGAGAAUUACGUUUGAAUUUCCAAAGAUACUAAUCUGAUGGGACAAAUGGAAAUAUAUCUUAUCAAUUUGUUUUUGGUUAGCCACAAAUAUUUUACUUUUUCGGGUAAGGUCACGGCGUCUUGCCAUAUAUACACGACACACCGGCGUGGUGGGAUCGAUCAAUCUUAAGAUCUAAGAAUGGAGAGGAAGGUGGGCAUCAUAGGAGCGGGAAUCAGCGGCCUCCUAGCCUGCAAGUAUACCCUCUCCAAGGGCUACACGCCGGUCGUCUUUGAGUCCCGGAGCAGUAUCGGGGGAGUAUGGACCAAGACACUCGAGACUACCAAGCUACAAACACCCAAACCAAUCUUCCAAUUCUCUGACUUUCCAUGGCCGUCUUCAGUAGUUGAAGAUUUUCCUAGCCAUUCCCAAGUUCUUGAUUAUCUUCAGUCCUAUGCCCAUCAUUUUGGCUUGCUCCGCCACAUCAAAUUCAACUCUAAAGUCCUCAGCAUCGCCUAUGAAGGCCCACCGGAGGAGGAGAUGCAGGCAUGGGAGCUGUGGGGUGGCGCCGGUGAUCCCUUUGGCUCUAAAGGGAAGUGGAAUCUUACUGUAAACGACACACACAACCUCUCAACUGAGGUAUAUAUAUAUAUAUAUGACCAUAUAUCAUAUUUUAUAUAUAUUUUAGCCUACUUUUCAGCAGAUCUCUGUGAUUUUAGCCCAUGUUCAAGUACAUGCUGAAGUGUGCUUUUCGAGUAGACCUAAUAAAUUGUAGUUAGUAGCCAUUAAUUUUUCACCCAAUAUGGCAUUAAGGUUUGCCAAGUGGAUUUUCUUAUCCUCUGCAUCGGACGGUUCAGCGAUGUGCCCAACAUCCCAGAAUUUCCAGCGGGCAAAGGCCCAGAAAUGUUCCAUGGAAAGGUCAUACAUUCCAUGGAGUAUGCAGCCAUGGAUUUCGCGAGAGCAGCUGAAUUCAUCAAAGGGAAAAGAACAACUGUGGUUGGAUUCCAGAAACAUGCCCUGGACAUCGCUAUGGAGUGCUCAACAGCAAAUGGUAUGAGAUAGGUUUCGGUUUCAGAUAUUAGUAACUUUCCUGGUCUAUUUUCAUACUAAACAAACAGAAAUUUACAGAUGGUUGAAAACUUUUGUAGGAGAGGAACAUCCAUGUAGAGUCUUGUACAAGACGGAGCACUGGACUGUCCCGGAUUUCCAACCAUGGGGGGUACAUCUAGCUCUUCUGUAUCUUAACCGCUUCUCGGAGCUUCUGAUUCAUAAGCCUGGUGAAGGGUUCCUCCUCAGCCUCCUGGCAACCAUUCUUUCACCUGUGGUAUAACUUGAUAGAAUACAAGAAUUUUGUUUUCUUCAAUACCUCUCCCUAAUGUUUCGAAUCUAAUUUCUACAGAGAUGGGGGUUCUCCAAGUUUGUCGAAUCUUAUAUAAAGAGGAAACUGUCCCUUGAAAAGUUCGGGAUGGUACCAAAACACAGCUUUCUCAAUCAGAUCAGCUCUUGUUUGAUCUCAAUAGUGCCAGAGGGGUUCUAUGACAGAGUAGAAAAGGGAAGUAUCCUUUUGAAGAAAGCUCCCAAGUUUGGCUUCUGCAAAGAAGGAAUUGUGGUAGAUGGCGAGAGCACACCUCUAGAGACGGAUUUGGUCAUAUUGGCAACCGGGUUCAAAGGAGAUGAGAAGCUCAAAGACAUUUUUGUGUCUCCAA
rnacentral:lncRNA from 1 species